UACGUAGGUCCCGAGCGUUGUCCGGAUUUAUUGGGCGUAAAGCGAGCGCAGGUGGUUUAUUAAGUCUGGUGUAAAAGGCAAUGGCUCAACCAUUGUAUGCAUUGGAAACUGGUAGACUUGAGUGCAGGAGAGGAGAGUGGAAUUCCAUGUGUAGCGGUGAAAUGCGUAGAUAUAUGGAGGAACACCGGUGGCGAAGGCGGCUCUCUGGCCUGUAACUGACACUGAGGCUCGAAAGCGUGGGGAGCAAACAGG
rnacentral:rRNA from 1 species